rnacentral:rRNA from 1 species
GAUGAACGCUGGCGGCGUGCUUAACACAUGCAAGUCGAACGAUGAAGCCCAGCUUGCUGGGUGGAUUAGUGGCGAACGGGUGAGUAACACGUGAGUAACCUGCCCUUAACUCUGGGAUAAGCCUGGGAAACUGGGUCUAAUACCGGAUAGGAGCGCCUACCGCAUGGUGGGUGUUGGAAAGAUUUAUCGGUUUUGGAUGGACUCGCGGCCUAUCAGCUUGUUGGUGAGGUAAUGGCUCACCAAGGCGACGACGGGUAGCCGGCCUGAGAGGGUGACCGGCUACACUGGGACUGAGACACGGCCCAGACUCCUACGGGAGGCAGCAGUGGGGAAUAUUGCACAAUGGGCGAAAGCCUGAUGCAGCGACGCCGCGUGAGGGAUGACGGCCUUCGGGUUGUAAACCUCUUUCAGUAGGGAAGAAGCGAAAGUGACGGUACCUGCAGAAGAAGCACCGGCUAACUACGUG